rnacentral:rRNA from 1 species
UAGGGAAUCUUCGGCAAUGGACGGAAGUCUGACCGAGCAACGCCGCGUGAGUGAAGAAGGUUUUCGGAUCGUAAAGCUCUGUUGUUAGAGAAGAACGUUGGUAGGAGUGGAAAAUCUACCAAGUGACGGUAACUAACCAGAAAGGGACGGCUAACUACGUGCCAGCAGCCGCGGUAAUACGUAGGUCCCGAGCGUUGUCCGGAUUUAUUGGGCUUAAAGCGAGCGCAGGCGGUUCUUUAAGUCUGAAGUUAAAGGCAGUGGCUUAACCAUUGUACGCUUUGGAAACUGGAGGACUUGAGUGCAGAAGGGGAGAGUGGAAUUCCAUGUGUAGCGGUGAAAUGCGUAGAUAUAUGGAGGAACACCGGUGGCGAAAGCGGCUCUCUGGUCUGUAACUGACGCUGAGGCUCGAAAGCGUGGGGAGCAAACAGG